GACAGAGGGUGCAAACGUUGCUCGGAAUCACUGGGCGUAAAGGGCGUGUAGGCGGGAAGGAUAGUCAGAUGUGAAAUCCCUGGGCUCAACCCAGGAACUGCAUUUGAAACUCCCUUUCUUGAGUGCUGGAGAGGAAGGCGGAAUUCCUGGUGUAGCGGUGAAAUGCGUAGAUAUCUGGAGGAAUACCGGUGGCGAAGGCGGCAUCCUGGACCGGCAUUGACGCUGAGGAGCGAAAGCUAGGGGAGCAAACGGG
rnacentral:rRNA from 1 species